rfam:Oryza sativa Japonica Group DNA, chromosome 7, cultivar: Nipponbare, complete sequence.
CCUAAGUGUAGUUGUGUGUUUUUGUGUUCAACAUUUGACCGCCAAUCUUUUUAAUUUUUUUAUAAUUAGUAUUUUUAUUGUUAUUAGAUGAUAAAACAUGAAUAAUACUUUAUGGAUGACUUAUUUUUAAAAAUAAUUUAUAAAUUUUUCAAAUAAAAUAGACAGUCAAACAUUAAAUACGAAAACCCACAACUGUAUUUAAA